rnacentral:rRNA from 1 species
AAGCAUCUCUAAAACCUUUAGCAACUGAAUCCCCAUAUUUACGGUCAAAGGGAAAACCUGCUGAGCAGCAGGGGGAAGCUGUAUUUCCCCUUGCCCCAGCUGUUUCCAAUGGCCGCUUUCAAGGGCAUUAGUCGUUGUCGCUGGUGUAUUCUCCUACAGGGGACGGUGUAAUUCCUCGCGACCUACUCAGAGGGUUCAAACAGAGUACAGGUUGCUCUCUACUCUUUUCUUGCCCUUUGAACUAUGGACGGUGAGAAAGCGGUUGUCCAUGUGCGGGGGAGUCCGCACUGCAGCGAUAGCUUCAAGUGCUCUGCUACACACAUUCAUUCUCUCCCACUUGGUGGAAGGGGCAGUCUGUUUCCAUUGGGGUCGUCA